UCAUGAAAAAAUUCAGCCAAGUCACAAAUGAGUAAAAAGCCAUAUGGAAAUGAUAGGCAGUGUUAAUCAGCCAUUCCAGCAGGGGAGUCUAAACAUCCAUUUAAAUCAUGAUGUAACAAAGCUGUGCUCUUACCUUUACGCUUUCCCUCUUUAUUCAUAUAAGUUCCCCCCUUUUCUUGUGUACAUUUGUUUUAUUUCAGAUCUUGUAUAACAGCUUUAAAUGGUGGCUAUUAUCUCUCCACUCUUUUCUAGUAGUAAAAUUUCUGAUAUCCCCACAAAUUGAUAUUUUCUGCCAAAUUAGAGACGUCUGUCGUAAUUUCUUUUAUUGGCUGAAGAUCACAUGUGGCCAACUCCAAUAGCUUUACAAAUAGUUCUGAGGGAUUUGAUUUGGACUUACUUCAACAGGUGCUAUUGUGUUUCCUAUCUUGCAUUUAUUAAUUUCCUGGUCAAGUUUUGAAACUGUUGACUAGGUGACCUUGCUGUAGCCCUAUUAAGGAGUCAGUUCUGCUGCACAGUACCCAGAAGUCCCUAACUUUUAACUGAGGGUAGCUACAUGGUGUAUUGUAGGUAGAAUAGCAUCUUAGCUCUUAGCUUGAAAUAAUGAACAGAUAUGAGCCCUACAACAAUGUGAUGCCAUUUUGGCAUGUUAAUGUGUGUCAAUAGCAAGCACAAUUUUUCACAUCAGUUUGCAUGUUUUCUCUUUAAGAUUACAGUAAGAGUUGAAGUUUUGUUCUUUAUAUAAGGAAAUAAGUAUCAGAGAUGUUCAAACUUACUUCACUGUUUUGGGAGCUAAUUUCAAAGUGUUCCUGUGCUACCUUUAUCAUUAAAUGAUUUUUAAAUUAUUAUUCUCUGCUGAGAUUACAAAUUAGCAUUCAGAUGAAUUCCUGGCUAGAUAUUUCCAAACAUUUUCCAUUCACAUUGAGUAGAAACCUGUUUUGUCCAGCCUGUAAAAUGCAUUGUAAUUUGUAGAUGCUUCCAAAUGUAACUAGUUGCACUCUUGUUUUCAUUAAAACACAUACAAAUUAUCCCUUGCUUUCUCUAGGUGAGACUGAGAGCAAAAAGCUUCAGCUCACAGGGCUGAAUCUGCAUCCCUUAUGGACCCACAAAGAAUGCAAAAAUCACCAGGGAUUUAGCAUGAUUGCAAAGGUCAGGAGUUGAACUUCUGUAGGCCAAGUUCUGCUUUGGGUUACAGUGAUGUCUCACUCUGGUAUUGAACUGAAGUCACUAUUUUACAGCACUGUAACACAGUAGAUUAUAAAAGUCUCUUUCAUAUUUUUGCCCAUAAUUUGUCUGUAAGGCAAAAGAAAGUUCUUGGGAGUCACUGUUUGAAAGGGAACAGUAUAUGACCUGUGCCAUUUCAGUGCUUUGAGAAAUCCAAAUACAAUAGUAACUAGCUUGAAUCAUCUUCAUGUGUUGAAUAAAUACCUGCUUGUAGCAGAAUCAAAGUAUUUUCUCUACAUCAGCAAGUCCAGAUUCUGUAUGUGUUCUGCCCAGGCAGGAUGACUAUUUAGCCAUAAUGUUCUUUCAAGUUAGAGUUUUGUAUUACAGUGAAAACCAACAUUUUUUUAAUUUGUGAUAAACCUGUAUUAUAAUGCCUUAUUUAUUUUUAAUCUUGUACAGUGUUACAAAACAACAGAAAACAUUGGCCUUUCAUGUACUAUUCACUUUAAAAGAUGUAUUGUGUGAAAUUUUGUAAAUAGUUUUAGCUUUGACAGGUAAUUGCAUGUAUACUUGUAUAAAAAGAGGCAAAAAGGCACACUUUUAACAAAUUUUUGUAACAGACAUUUUACAUGUGCAUGGAGAUUAUAAAUCCUUUGGAAAUUGAUGUCCUUUUGGUUUUCCUUGCAAUAUACUGCAUGCCACUCAUGCCUGACUUCAGUUAAAAAAAAAAGAUAAAAAAAAGAAAAGAAAAAAAAAAAGUAAAAAACAGUACAUUUUACUAAAUAUUUUUGACAUAUCACUUCUGGCACAAAGUUAAACCCACUAGUUGCAUGUGUGUUCAGCAAAGCAAAAUCAAAAUGCAAACAGCAAAAUAAGAAGAAAAAUAAUGUAAUGAUUGUGAUCUGCCAACCUCAGUGUUUCAAGUUCCAUAAUACAGUAUAUGAAAUGUGUUAUCAACAUCUAUGCUGUUUUUAUGAAGUACCUUAUGGUCAUUAGAAGCAAUAAACUCUACUUACUGUAAUACAAAAACCAAGCAGAUAUUCUAGUUCAUAAUGAUGUAAUAUCUGACAUUCAGUGGGUACUCUGUGAUACUGCAUUUGAUGUAGUAUUGUCAUCAUGCAGGACCAAGUGUCAAAUACAUUAUUGCUGUAUGCAGGUGCAACACUAUGGAAGGUAAAGGGGGUGAAUUGGCCCAUUGAUGUUACCCAGAGUAAAUUUAAGGUAUUAAGUUAUUGUAUGUGGAAAGUACACAAUGUGAAUAGAUUAUUUUACUAGAUACAUACAUAUGUAUAUAUAUAUAUGUAUGUAUAUAUAUAAAAUCAUUUUGUUGCCUUAUUUUUGUUAAAAAUGUUUUUAGCCAUUUUCCAAAAAAACUUCUAUUGCUAAGCAUAAAAUAUUGAACAGAACUAUUAGGAGAAGGUUCACUGGGUAGUCUGGCUUUGAGCUGCCUGGGUUCUCCUGUGCUGAUGCAACUCCUGCUCUUACUGAAGCCAUGCUUACAGGGAUGAAUGCCUUAGAUAUUACAGCCUGGCUCACAUUUUGAGCCCCCUGUCUGGUAGUGGCAUAAGAUCAAUAAAUCAGUAGCCAGUCCUCUUAACUGAUUUUUCAUAUUGCUGCUAAAACAAACUUUAAAUUUUGGAAAUAUUCGGCAUUCACCAUUUUUAAAGUUGUUAUAUCUAUGGUACUACAGUUAGGGACUACUUGAAUUACUUACAAAAGCGCUGUAUGAUAAAUCAGGAGUAUUGUAGGAGCAUAACACUGAGGUUGGUGGCAGAGAAAAACGGGGAUGGACUGUGAAUACUUUCUAUUAUGGAUUAACAAGGACUUGUAUUUUACAGAUUGGAGCUAGCUUUAUAAUAGGGCUGAGGAAUCUGUUGGUUUGUUUGAUUAAUCAGGUGAUUGUGGGGUUAACUAAGCAGUACACUUUCUGCAAGCAAUUCUGUCAGACUGUAGAUUCAUACAUCAUAUCCCAGUUUGCAUGUAAGAACAACUACCUUGUAUUGAUGAUUGGCUUCAUACAGCAGUUAAGGGUUUCUAACAGUCAUAAACUAACUCAUCUCAAAUUCAGUGGAUUUUACAUCUCAGCAUAAUUGUUGUGACUAAUGACAAUCUGGACUCUGCUUCUCUACCCCAACCCUGUUGAUGAUUGGCUUUUUUCCAUAACUCCGUAUAGACUUUUAUUUAUUUAUUUAUUCCUCUUCAUUCUUUUUAAUGCCAUCUCUCACAGAGUUUUCAGGCCACUCACUUCUGAGCAAAAUUAAAUAAUGAAUAAAUAAGUAAAUCUAAAUAAAUGGAAAAAUGAGUAAAGGUUAGGUGGGGCCUGCCUAUCACUCUUUAAUUAUACUUCAAAAUGUCAAACUGCUUGGACGGCCUGGGGUGAUCUGUAAUCUGACAAAUGCAAGGGCAUAAAGAGGAAAAGAAAAAAAGCAAAGAGUUAGCAGGUGUCUGUUCACAUUCACAAGAGUGUUCAAGAUCUCUUGUUGAACUGCUUUAAAAUUUCCAGAAAAAAUCAUUAGAAAUAGUUGGUUGUUACCUUAUAUGCCUAUUUUCUAAUCAUGAGGAAGCACUUUGAAAUCUGAAUUAGCAUUGGUUAAUAUACAUAGCCAAUGUGCUGAAGGGACUAGUUUUUACUUGUGCCUUACUGCAUGCUAGAGGAUCUGUUUCUUUAUACUGGGAUUCCAUGUUUUAUGCCUAUAGUGGCAUCAGACGUGUCACACCAGCAUAAGACUGCAGGAACAAACAGUGCUGUGCAUCACUGUGAACCUUUUUUAUUACUUUCUUUCCUACUUUGGUUUACUACCAGCACAGCUAUGCCAGCGUAAGGAGUGAUGCAAGCGUUUAUAAAUGAAGGCCAUAGACAGGUAUAUGAGAGUCAAAUAAAGAAAAGAUUUUCUAGAAAGUUCAGUGUAUACGCUGAUCUGAGUUUUGCAGAAUAUCUGGCCAGAUAGCUUGGAGCUCCUUUGGAAAAGCUGCCUGCCCUCCUCUUCAGAACACGCUUGCACAACAUGCUGAUUAAAUAUAUCCAGUACACUUACCUAUAGCUUGUAACUGCACUGCCACAUUUGCUAUAGUUAGACAGUCUUCAUUGCAGGCAAGGCUGAGGUGUAUUUUAAUUACCAAGAUUCUGUACGUAAGUACAGAUUGUGUCUUACUGUUCAAGUGCCUGAUCUGCUACUUUUAUUCCAGACCUGUCAAUGAUGACCUCAGUUACGACAAUUUUGAGUUGGCACAUUGAAGUCCUUUAGGUGAUUUCUCACUUCUUUUACUCUUUAGGGUGCAUGGGUGCAACGGUUGUCUAUUCUUACAUUUCAAAUGCCACUCAAGUGAUGUAUCAAGCAUUUUCAAUGAAAUGUAGAUGAAAAUGAACUACUUGUGCCAUCACAACAUUGUUUAAUGAUAAUUGCAUUUCUAAAGAAUUACAAUAUAUAUCCUUUCUCCUUUUAUUUUAUAGUAGUUCAAUUAGUAGUUAAUUCAAUUAAGAAAAAAGAAGUAAAGUGCUUAUGUUAAUUGCUCCAUUUACAUUUGCAUAUUAGUGUUCAAAUUUGGACUUACACAAAGCAAGUUUCUGUUUUGUGUUCAAGCACCUGAUUAUUACACAGAGGUAGAUUUGGACAAUGUUAUGGAAUACAUUAAAAACUAAAGUAAGGCUUUAAGACUUUCCACUCAGAAAAGCAGAGUCCAUGAGCAGUUACUGUUUCUGGAGUAAUUUAACCCAAUUCAGAGAAUUCUAGAACUUCAUAAUUUCAGCAAUUUCAGCUAAAUUUGACCCAUCUCUCAAAAUCCCUGCCACUAAAACCCAUACUGCAAUUUACAUCUGUCCAGAUUUAAUCUUAUUGGUUAGUCCUUCUACUCUGCUGUCUAGAGGUGAAUUUUAGUCUUUCUGGUAUAUGUCCAUAGUUUCUGCUUGGAAAUGAGAUGUUAAGUAUUUUUCUGAUCUGUUAAUUGGAAAGAUAAACAAGUGUAUGUUUCCUUCUUUUUAUAAUUAAAUGUCCAGCAGCCUAAGGCAGGAAGCAAAAACAGACAUGAAGCAUGUAUCUACGAUCAAUAUUGGUCUGCCUACACAUGAAGACACAGUGUCCGUUGUAGGCUUAUCCAUAAUUUUAGGCAUCCUAGAAAUACUUAAACAGAAUAAAUAUCAUAGCAAUAAGAGAAAAAGGAGUUAGGCAAGCCUGCCUGCCUAACACCACACAGUUCUUAGUUCUUUGGAAGUAAAAAAUGGACUUCCUGCUCAUAAUCACUGCACCACUUUUACGAAAUCAGUAUGACCCUCCUGCACUUAGCUCACUCUCAGUUGUUCACCUCCAUCACAUUUUUAUUGCGGUUGGUUACUGCUUUUUUUCUUCCUCUGUAUGUCCUCCAUCACAUGGUUGCCAACCUUUUUAUUUUUUUAAAAAAGAAGUGUUUUCAAAUAUUAGGUGUUAAAGGGAAUAGAAAUAGCUUAACAAAAUAUUGUUAGGAAGUGGCUGCAUGUGACCAUAAACCCAAGAGGGUGGAUAAAUGAACCCUGUGGUGGGAAUGCAGACUCCAGCAGCUGGCAACACUCUGAAAAGUAAGGCUGAAUCCUGCCAGCUGCAGAGAUACAGUUAAACAGGAAUCUGGUAGCCUGAUUCAUGAUGUCACAUUUAAAAAAUAAGUGCAAACCCAUUUCAAGGGUGGUUGUGUAGUUUGUGUCUGGAGUUAUUACUGUAUUAAAAA